rnacentral:misc_RNA from 1 species
GCAGACUGGAGUUGCUAAAAUGAAUUUUUCAAGAAUUGGAACACCUCUGUGCAAGUAUAGUGGAUUUGCUCAUGGAUCAGGGGAUAAAGAUUAUAUUAAUGGUCAUGAAGUUAUACCCUCAACGAGUGCAAGGCUUCCUUUUAUUGAGAAGAUACCUCCAUAUACUACCUGGAUAUUUUUGGACAGGAAUCAGAGGAUGGCCGAAGACCAGUCAGUGGUG